UUUAUACUAUUUUUAAAUGCUGGUGGAGAUCUCUUGUUGAUUUCAUUACCUAUUCACAGUUUGAAAACCCUGUCCUAAAUGUUACUGUACCCCAGGCCCUGAUGUUAGCUUCUGACCAUCUCAUGCUGCCUACUUUCCCUGAGUGUCCUUACCCUAGUGCAUGGCUGUAGUCCUUACCCAUGGCUACUGUUCCUUCCUUAGAGCUCUGUCUUCACAGACUUUCCGCAGAUCACAUUCUGAGAUCCUUCAGCCUUUGAGAUACCGCUGGCCUGUCCCAGAGUUGCCCCUCUCUCAUGGAUCCAAAUCUGAUUUCAUCCCCUUUGCCAAAUCCUGCUCUUCUGACAUUCAAUGCUGGUAAGCGGUUCUACAGUCCACCUCUUUACCCUACGGAAAAACCUAGAAGGCACCCCCCACAUUGCUUUUCAUCACACUAAGUAUCUCAGAGAGAUGCCUUCUGUUCAUCUCAUUGCCAUAGCUUCAGCUUAGACUCUCCUCAUUUCCAUCAUAGAUCACAUACCUCAGAAGUCUUCUAAAUCAGCGCUUAAAGUAGCACUUAAGCAAUGAUGGAAGUUACUAUAUUUGCACUGUCCAAUAUGGUAGCUACUAGUCAUGUGUAGCUCUUGAGCAGGUUUAAAUAGCCACAUAUGGAUCCUGCCACAAGGAUCCCUCCUAGUUCCUGGCACUAAUAAACAACCAACCAAUCCCUAUAGACUGACUUUAUGAGUGAAAUGUAAAAAUAUGAAAGCCAUAUAAAGAUGUUAGCAACACUGUCAAUUACUAUGUAAUAUCACAAAUCAACUUUACUUCUUAGUUAAAUAAUUUUUUCAUAAAUUUUUACUUGUAACUUUUAUUUCUAAUUUUCUCACAUAAGUACCCUAAAUUGCCUCCAUCAUUAAAAAUUACCUUUUUUAGGUUUUUUUUGUCUACCAACAUAAGCUACCUUUUUAUAGUUCUUAACUUUUUUCUACUAUCAGUUAUAUAUUUAAUAAAUACCACCAUUAAUUGCUGAUUAAACAUAUUAGUUGACAAAUAUAUAGUAAUAGAAAGCAGAUCAGUGGUUGCCUGGUGGGGAGGUGGUAGAGAUUACAAAGUGGCAUGAAGCAGCUUGUGGGUAGUGGAUAUGUUCUCCAUCUUGAUUGUAGUGAGGCUUUCAUGCGGGU
rnacentral:lncRNA from 1 species